AUAUACGACUGGCUUCUUUCUGUUUCCGUCUACAAUUUUCAUUCAAAAGGCUUAGGUUGACCUGAAGCUUUAGUAGAAGACACUUGCCCAAGAUGCCACGUAGUGGGAUUGAAUCCUGAACUAUAUUGUUGGGAAGCAAGCUUCUAACCGCAUGACCACGCCUUCGUCAAAAUUUUAACAACGCAUUACAAGUGACGUUGUUUUGGAGUCAUCUGUUCCCACAUAACCUGUUAGUCGGAGAAGCUAUUCCGGAGAAGACUUUGCACCUAGCUGAUAGCAUUUAAACAACAGUACCUUGUCCAGUCCGGAAUUGUAAAAGCCUGGCAAUCUAGAGUCAAUAAAAUCUUGGAAGACCUGUUUUACAGCAUCGUCGUUUUAUAUCCCUACUUCUCAAUGUAGUUACUGUUUCUCUCAAUAGCAAUGUUCCACCUUCGAAUGAGAGCAUGUAUCCCUGCCCCAUAAAAUUCUGUUGACUGUUCUUUGAGCCACUUCUUCACUACAGUCUUCACUUCCUCGUCACGGGAAUAAUGUUUGCCUCUAAAACCCGCUUUCUUUAUUCCCUCUCCCUCUCCCUCUCUCUCUCUUUCUCUUUCUCUCUCUCUCUCUCUCUCUCUCUCUCUCUCUCUCUCUCUCUCUGAUGCCAGUCUAUGAACCCUCUUCUCUUCUUUAUUGUCAAAUAUAUCUGUUUGCUACAGUUCUAUAUUUAAGAGAUAAAGAAUUAUUUACAUUAUUUACAUUAUUUA